UACAUGAAGCUGGAGUUACUAGUAAUCGCAGAUCAGAAUGCUGCGGUGAAUGCGUUCCCGGGUCUUGUACACACCGCCCGUCACACCACGGGAGUUGGAGACGCCCGAAGCCGAUUAUCUAACCUUUUGGAAGAAGUCGUCGAAGGUGGAAUCAAUAACUGGGGUGAAGUCGUAACAAGGUAGCCGUAUCGGAAGGUGCGGCUGGAUCACCUCCUUUCUAAGGAGA
rnacentral:rRNA from 1 species